CUUGGGGUGGGGGGUCCCUCAGCCUGGAUUGCGAGAGGGCGCAGGCCAGGCCAAGGGACUCCACCAUGCACG
rfam:Myotis lucifugus cont2.9383, whole genome shotgun sequence.